rnacentral:rRNA from 1 species
CCUACGGGUGGCAGCAGUGGGGAAUAUUGGGCAAUGGGCGCAAGCCUGACCCAGCAACGCCGCGUGAAGGAAGAAGGCUUUCGGGUUGUAAACUUCUUUUCUCAGGGACGAAGCAAGUGACGGUACCUGAGGAAUAAGCCACGGCUAACUACGUCCAGGCAGCCGCGGUAAUACGUAGGUGGCAAGCGUUAUCCGGAUUUACUGGGUGUAAAGGGCGUGUAGGCGGGACUGCAAGUCGGAUGUGAAAACCACGGGCUCAACCUGUGGCCUGCAUUUGAUACUGUAGUGCUUGAGUGCUGGUGAGGCGGACGGAAUGCGUGGUGUAGCGGUGAAAUGCGUAGAUAUUAGGAGGAACACCAGUGGCGAAGGCGGUCUGCUGGACAGCAACUGACGCUGAGGCGCGAAAGCGUGGGGAGCAAACAGGAUUAGAUACCCCUGUAGUC